rnacentral:lncRNA from 1 species
CCACCCAGCAGGAAGCUCUGGGCACACAACCACCCUCAAGUGCCAGAUGUUUCUUGCCUGGUCCUUGCUAUGAGACUCAAUGUUAGGCAGAUCAAGAUAUGGGAGAUGCAGACGGGGCUCCUGCUUUUGAAUCUUUCCAGCCACCAAGAUGUUGUAGCAGAUCUGAGCUUUACACCCAGUGGCGGUUUGAUUUUAGUCUCUGUGUCAUGGGGUAAGACUCUUCGCAUCUGGAACCUGAAGAACCAUGAUACGGAGGUGAAGGAACUACUUGGCAAU